GGGAAGAGAGAAGCAGGUCUUCAGAUCACAUGCAGGCGGAGAAUGGAACAAUGCCCUUGGAGCUGCCUGCAAACUGAGGUCCCAGUCUGCUGUGAAACCCACAGCAAACCCUUUGUGUGCCUGUCGGGCCUGCAAAGCUUGGUGCGAUCCAAGGAGGAUGAAGUUAAUUUAGCAUUUCCUUCACCAGCAAGGAGAGGACGUGAGAUGCGAGAGCAGGAGCAACUGGGAGAGAAAAUGGAAAUGGACCAAUUCCAAAGGCAAAGCUGAGGUGGUUGUUGAUGCUGCUGGGAAAGACACUAAACACUAAGCAUGGGAUGUCGUGUGAGAUGAGAAGCUCUCCAAAUACAUAAAGGGAAGGUAAAUGAUGGAUUCUUCAUGAUGGGGCCCCAGAUGUUGCAGAGGUGAAGCUGCAGUGGG
rnacentral:lncRNA from 14 species